rnacentral:tRNA from 1 species
GGUAGCGUGGCCGAGUGGUCUAAGGCGUUGGAUUUAAGCAGAAAGAAUUAUUCAGCUUCCCAAUGGAGGAAACUCCGCGCGAGUUCGAACCUCGCCGCUACCA